CCGACCUCGCGCUCGUGGGGGGUGGGGGGAGGGGGCGGUCAAAAUUUUCCCCCUUCUUCUACUCUUUUUUCUCUUUCCCUUUUCUUCCCAAUCUCGCGUAAUUUAUAUAUCCACCACACGGGAAAACGAUGAUGAUGCUUUAGGAAUAGUGGGCAGAGGAAUUCGGGGCCUCUCUGGUGAUGAUGUCUCCAAGGAGGCCUUCUUCUUCUCCUUCUUCCCGGUGCUUGCUUCUUGGAUUUAUUUUGCUGCUGGUCCUGCUGGCGUUGAGCACGUCGGCGCGGGCCACUGGGGUGUUCAAGGUGCGGCGUAAGUUCGUCGGUCGCAGGCCCACCGUCGGCGAUCUCCACGCCCACGAUAGCCGCCGGCACAGCCGGAUCCUAUCCGCCGUCGAUCUCCCCCUCGGCGGCCUCGGCCUCCCCACCGAUACCGGGCUGUAUUUCGCGGAGAUUGGGAUCGGGAUGCCGUCCAAAAAGUACUACGUGCAGGUCGACACGGGGAGCGACAUCCUCUGGGUGAAUUGCAUCUCCUGCAAGCGUUGCCCUCGGAAGAGCGACCUCGGUGUUGAGUUGACGUUAUAUGAUCCCAAGGCAUCAGGGAGUGGCAGUUUGGUAUCAUGCCAGGAGAAAUUUUGCGUGUCCACGUAUGGGGACAUUCCUGGCUGCGAGGCUAGUUUGCCGUGCCAGUAUAGUGUGAUAUAUGGUGAUGGGAGUUCCACUUCUGGUUAUUUCGUGACAGACACCAUCCAGUAUAAUCAAGUAUCUGGCAAUCACCAAACAAAACCGGUCAAUGCAAGUGUUACAUUUGGGUGUGGUGCCCAACAAUCUGGGGAUUUGGGUUCAUCAAGUGAAGCACUUGAUGGAAUUCUUGGUUUUGGACAGUCAAAUUCAUCCAUGAUUUCACAGUUAGCUUCUUCUGGAAAAGUGAGCAAGAUAUUUGCUCAUUGUUUAGAUACUAUUAAUGGAGGAGGAAUCUUCACUAUUGGACACGUAGUACAGCCAAAAGUGAAAACAACACCUUUGGUGCCUGAUCAGCCACAUUACAAUGUGAAUUUGAAGGCAAUUGAAGUUGGUGGAGCUUUUCUGCAGCUUCCAACUGAUUUAUUUGACACUGGUGACAAGAAAGGGACUAUAAUUGAUAGUGGUACAACAUUGUCUUAUCUACCAGAGGUUGCCUAUAACGCACUAAUGAAUGCAGUACUCUCUAAUCGUCCAGAUUUGAAUUUCUUCACCAAUCAGGACUUUCGAUGUUUCCGAUACACUGGAAGGAUAUUUAAUUAUCAGAUAAGAAUUAAAGUGUUUGUUCUCGACAUUGAUUACAGUGUGGAUGAUGGAUUCCCGGAAGUUGUUUUUCAUUUUGAGAACUCACUUUUGCUGAAUGUAUAUCCUCAUGAUUAUCUUUUCCAAAAUGGGGAUAAUAUUUACUGUGUUGGUUGGCAAAAUGGUGGGUUACAGUCUAAAGAUGGAAAAGAUAUGUUUCUUUUGGGAGAUCUAGUCCUAUCAAACAAGUUAGUUCUUUAUGAUCUUGAGAACCAAGUCAUUGGAUGGACAGAAUACAACUGAAAUGUGUUGGAUUGAACCUUUGUUCGGGGGAACUUCCAUGGAGUGAACUUGUAUGGCCAACCACAUGAACCAUUUGAUCUUGGCAAUGCAAAGGAUGAGGACUCUUAUUGAUAUAUCAGGAUCUUGAGAUUCCUUGUUAUUGCUCUUCAAUGUCAACUGCUGGAUUGCACCCUUUUGGGCACAUCACUAAAGGCUCCUCGAGCAUCAAGAUUCGGGAUGACAAGAGUGGAGCAAUUUAUACUGUUGAUGCUCAUAACAUUUCUUCUGGCCGAAGAUUGCAGCUGGGGAGGUCCAUUUUGUUGUUGUUGCCAACCCUCCUGUGCUAUUUUAUUUGUUAAUCAGGAACAGCAAAUGCAUCAGUUUAGUGAGUUUGCUUCAUUCAUAUUCUUUUAUAGAAAAUAUGUCAGUAUAUUCUUGCUGU